rnacentral:tRNA from 1 species
GUCAGGAUGGCCGAGUGGUCUAAAGUGCUGAGUUCAGGUUGCAGUCUCCCCUGGAGGCAAGGGUUCGAAUCCUAUUUCUGACA